ensembl:snRNA U6 U6 spliceosomal RNA
GUGCUUGAUUUGGCAGCAAAUAUAUUAAAACUGGAAUGAUACAGAGAAGAUUAGCAUGGCUCUUGUGCAAGGAUAACACACAAAUUCAUGAAGCAUUCUGUAUUUAA